rnacentral:rRNA from 1 species
GGGUUGUGAGGUUAAGCGACUAAGCGUACACGGUGGAUGCCCUGGCAGUCAGAGGCGAUGAAGGGCGUGCUAAUCUGCGAUAAGCGCCGGUAAGGUGAUAUGAACCGUUAUAACCGGCGAUACCCGAAUGGGGAAACCCAGUGUGAUUCGUCACACUAUCAUUAACUGAAUCCAUAGGUUAAUGAGGCGAACCGGGGGAACUGAAACAUCUAAGUACCCCGAGGAAAAGAAAUCAACCGAGAUUCCCCCAGUAGCGGCGAGCGAACGGGGAGGAGCCCAGAGCCUGAAUCAGCAUGUGUGUUAGUGGAAGCGUCUGGAAAGGCGCGCGAUACAGGGUGACAGCCCCGUACACAAAAGCGCAUGUGCUGUGAGCUCGAUGAGUAGGGCGGGACACGUGGUAUCCUGUCUGAAUAUGGGGGGACCAUCCUCCAAGGCUAAAUACUCCUGACUGACCGAUAGUGAACCAGUACCGUGAGGGAAAGGCGAAAAGAACCCCGGCGAGGGGAGUGAAAAAGAACCUGAAACCGUGUACGUACAAGCAGUGGGAGCACAGGUUUACCUGUGUGACUGCGUACCUUUUGUAUAAUGGGUCAGCGACUUAUAUUCUGUAGCAAGGUUAACCGUAUAGGGGAGCCGGAGGGAAACCGAGUCUUAAUUGGGCGUUAAGUUGCAGGGUAUAGACCCGAAACCCGGUGAUCUAGCCAUGGGCAGGUUGAAGGUUGGGUAACACUAACUGGAGGACCGAACCGACUAAUGUUGAAAAAUUAGCGGAUGACCUGUGGCUGGGGGUGAAAGGCCAAUCAAACCGGGAGAUAGCUGGUUCUCCCCGAAAGCUAUUUAGGUAGCGCCUCGUGAAUUCAUCUCCGGGGGUAGAGCACUGUUUCGGCUAGGGGGCCAUCCCGGCUUACCAACCCGAUGCAAACUGCGAAUACCGGAGAAUGUUAUCACGGGAGACACACGGCGGGUGCUAACGUCCGUCGUGAAGAGGGAAACAACCCAGACCGCCAGCUAAGGUCCCAAAGUCAUGGUUAAGUGGGAAACGAUGUGGGAAGGCCCAGACAGCCAGGAUGUUGGCUUAGAAGCAGCCAUCAUUUAAAGAAAGCGUAAUAGCUCACUGGUCGAGUCGGCCUGCGCGGAAGAUGUAACGGGGCUAAACCAUGCACCGAAGCUGCGGCAGCGAACGUAUCACCCAAGACAACUUUACGGAGUUGACGAUUGACGGAGCGAAGCGACGUCAAAGCGUUCAUUAAAGUCGAGUUGGCUUAGGGAUACGUUCGUUGGGUAGGGGAGCGUUCUGUAAGCCUGUGAAGGUGUGUCGUGAGGCAUGCUGGAGGUAUCAGAAGUGCGAAUGCUGACAUAAGUAACGAUAAAGCGGGUGAAAAGCCCGCUCGCCGGAAGACCAAGGGUUCCUGUCCAACGUUAAUCGGGGCAGGGUGAGUCGACCCCUAAGGCGAGGCCGAAAGGCGUAGUCGAUGGGAAACGGGUUAAUAUUCCCGUACUUGGUGUUACUGCGAAGGGGGGACGGAGAAGGCUAUGUUGGCCGGGCGACGGUU